rnacentral:rRNA from 1 species
AGUGAACGCUGGCGGUAGGCCUAACACAUGCAAGUCGAACGGCAGCACAAUAAGAGCUUGCUCUUACGGGUGGCGAGUGGCGGACGGGUGAGGAAUACAUCGGAAUCUACUUUUUCGUGGGGGAUAACGUAGGGAAACUUACGCUAAUACCGCAUACGACCUACGGGUGAAAGCAGGGGAUCCUCGGACCUUGCGCGAUUGAAUGAGCCGAUGUCGGAUUAGCUAGUUGGCGGGGUAAAGGCCCACCAAGGCGACGAUCCGUAGCUGGUCUGAGAGGAUGAUCAGCCACACUGGAACUGAGACACGGUCCAGACUCCUACGGGAGGCAGCAGUGGGGAAUAUUGGACAAUGGGCGCAAGCCUGAUCCAGCCAUACCGCGUGGGUGAAGAAGGCCUUCGGGUUGUAAAGCCCUUUUGUUGGGAAAGAAAAGCAGCAGGUUAAUACCCCGCUGUUCUGACGGUACCCAAAGAAUAAGCACCGGCUAACUUCGUG